UAAGACAAGUUUACUCAAUCUGUAAAUAUGA
rnacentral:piRNA from 1 species